rnacentral:rRNA from 1 species
GUGGGGAAUAUUGGGCAAUGGAUGCAAGUCUGACCCAGCCAUCCCGCGUGCCGGAAGAAGGCCCUCAGGGUUGUAAACGGCUUUUGACGGUGAAGAAUCGACAGGAUGCGUCCUGUUUUUACGGUAGCCGUUGAAUAAGCACCGGCUAACUCCGUGCCAGCAGCCGCGGUAAUACGGAGGGUGCGAGCGUUGUCCGGAUUUAUUGGGUUUAAAGGGUGCGUGUGCUGGAAGGUCAGUCAGCGGUGAAAAGCUAUCGCUUAACGAUAGUCUUGCCGCAGAUACUUCCUUUCUUGGAUGAGGAGGAGGCCACUGGAACGGAUGGUGUAGCGGUGAAAUGCAUAGAUAUCAUCCAGAACACCGAUUGCGAAGGCAGGUGGCUGUACCUUAAUCGACGCUGAUGCACGAAAGCAUGGGGAGCAAACAGGAUUAGAAACCCCUGUAGUCC